CCAACAGACCUACAAUAGGCAGCAGCAGAAGCAGCCAAGGUAAGAUAUCAACAUCGCAUGUGUUUCUUUGAGGCACAUCUCUCACCACCAUGCCUCUCCCAACCCUUAUGACGAGCCUUCUGUCUUUCUCCUUCGCUCCUCUUGUGUCCCUGUCUCAUAUCUAAGGAAAAGAGAAUGAGAGAACGCAUGUGCACUGAUUUCACAUGUCAUUCUCCUUUCAGUGUUCUUGGCACGGAUUUAAAGAGAAAAUCCAUUCUAGGAGGGGUGGAAUGACAAGGAGUUAUUGAUUUCUCGGUGCAGAAAGAGAUUACAACAAAGGCAAUUUGUGAUCCUGUUUUUGGAAACAAACCGCCUUCGCAGCACCCUUUCAAACCCUGAGCUUGGUGUGAGUUCGCCAUAAUCCCAAUCUCAGAAAAGAAGGGUGUCGUCUUUCAGCAAAACCUGUUCACUUCACGGAUCUGGGAGGAAUUCAAACAGGACAGCUUUGUGAUAUAAGGCUGUGCUAAGUGGCUAUUAGACCUCAAAUUUAAAUGAGCAGGAAUUCUAUGAAAGCAUCUACUUAUCUGAAAGAAGAUUGGAGUUCCAGGAAGCUUGUCGAGAAGAUGCUGUAAUCAAACCUUUAAAUGCAUUUCGAGUUACUGAGCUAUCAGUCGAGUAUACCAAGCAAUCAGACUGACACAAGCUUGCUGGGUUGGUUCCAUGGAGGGCAGAAUGAGGAGGAAGAAACUGGAAAGUGGUGCAAUUAUUGGGCACAAGAGAACUCUAGCGCAUGAGCCGGACCAAAGAGCUACUCCGACAGUCUAUUUCAGCAUGGAAUCGUUUCUGCUGCUUCUCUUCCUCACUGCAUCACUGCUGAUACUCCCACUUGUACUGCCACCAUUGCCACCUCCCCCUUCCAUGCUGCUUCUGCUUCCCAUUGGCCUUCUCCUUGUGCUUUUGAUACUGGCUUUUAUGCCUUCAGAUGCACGAAAUAUCACAUCCUCCUACCUGUAAAUAUCUUGUGAGCUUUCCUUUUGCAAAUCAUGAGUGAGUACAUCUUCUUUCCUUUA